AGAGCAAGAGUCUUACCUGCUCGUACACGCAAAUUAAGGUCUCUAAAGACAAGGAUGUCAGGACGAGUUGGGUAGGAAAAGUCAACAUGUUUUAAUUCAACUUCUCCACGAAGUUUAUCUGGGACUUGGGUGACGUUUGGAUCAUCAGGUUCAAUUUCAGUUUUACGGUCAAGAAGUGCAAAUACGGAACGCAUGGCUCGACCACCCUUGAUAAAGUCAGGAGCUAGAGUGAGUGUUUCGGCUGCACCAUUUGCAGAAACCAUAAGGACCAUGAAAACACGAAUUGCCUUUGAAAAAUCAGAGAGCCCAUGCUUCACAAGCCAUGAGGCAUACCAAAGACCAAGAGCAUAGGAAGCAUAAAGAGAAAACUGAGCAACACCAAACCCACUACCAGCAAUUUGUCCCUUCCAAAAGCAGCGACGUAGUGGGAUUUCGAGGUUGGUUGAAAAAAGUCUGACAAUCUUCUCUUCCGAGUUGAAUGCCGCAACUGUCCUUACAUUGGCUAUUGCCUCCCCUGCUAGCUGUGUGGCCUUGGCAUGGUUGGCCUCAAGGUCUCCUGAGAAACCAGUCAUGAACAUUUUCUGUAGAACAGUGGCAGCAACAACCACGGGGAAGACAGCUACAAGGACAAGAGACAGGCGCCACUGCAAAACAAACCCAGCGGUGCAAGCAACUAGCAUGAGUGAUGUGUUCUGUACAAUCACUGAAAUCCUGUCUCCAAUGGCUGAUCUGACGUUGUUAGCAUCCAAGGCCAGCCUUGCAGCAAUCUUUGCACUCUCAUUUUCUUCCUGAUCAAACCAUGCCAUUUCAUUUUUCAGUAUUGCUGUCAGCAUCUUCUCUCUUACACGUUUGGUGAGGUUCUCUCCUACAAUAUCCCAGAAGAAAUGCUGUAUUGUAUUGAAGAGAAGAGCAGCCGACGAAAGUCCGAUUAACAAGUAGCAGUACUUAAUAAUUUCUCUGCUCAUGAAAGCAUGGUCUGGGUUGUAAUAGACACUGAGAACAGCACUUAGAACGUAUGCAAAGAAGGCGCUUAAAAACCCACAAACAACAGAGCCUAUAGAACCAAGUAGUGCACAAAGCCAUUCGGGUGAAUUCAUUUUCACGAGACGCCAAAAGGAACUGGCUUGCUCCUUAAAGGCCAGUUUUUCAAGCCUGUAAUUGGGAAGUGAAGCAUCGAGAGAAAGACUAAAAUCAGAUGUGGAGAAGUCAGAUAAUCGACGUGAAUAUGGUGAUCGACCAUAGGAAGAAUUCCGUGCAAUGAUUGGGGAGCUCACUGAGUUCCUGGCACUUGAAGGCCUGAAAUCAUAGUUCAUGUUAGUCAGUUAAGUUAGUGAAAGAAAAUUAAAAAUGAAAAAGAAUACAUUUUUUUAGCUACCUUGCACUACUUUUUCUGGCAUUAUUGAGAGCAGUUUCAUGUGCCAUCUCCUGCAUCCGGAUAAGCUUGGCAUAUACACCAUUUUCUCCUUUAGCAAAUAGCUCAUCAUGCGUUCCCAUUUCAGAAACACUUCCUUGUUGGAGUACAGCCACAAGGUCAGCCUUCCGAAUGGUAGAGAGUCGAUGGGCAAUGACAAGAGUGGUCCGCCCUAUCAUAAAACGAUCAAGAGCUUCUUGUACAAGCUUUUCUGACUCAGAGUCCAAUGCACUAGUAGCUUCAUCUAAGAGUAGGAUUGCAGGGUUUUUAAGCAUUGCCCUUGCUAUUGCGAUCCUCUGCUUCUGCCCUCCAGAAAGCUGCAGUCCUCUUUCACCUACCUACAAAAAGUUUACGUUUUACUUAAAACCUCACAAUUCAUAUUCAUAAUGAUUCAUUAUCAUAUCAAAACUAGAUUAGGAUUUCGAAGUCCUAUUAUCUAAGACGAGCAAGAACAAAGUGGUCUUUCUUUCUACUCGGGAUUCAUAAUCAUUGCAGUCAUUCUAUCAAAAGGUGAGCAAUUAGUAAUUUUUGAGCUAUUUUUUAUAAUGUGAAGCAAAGAGAUAUAGAAUCAUGUCAAGAACUUGUGGAAGCCUCGGAUAACAAAUAAUCAAUAAGUUUAAAAUUGAUGAUGUUCUCUUUGUUAUCUCGAAGUUCCAAAUUUGAUUUAAAUAGUUCUGUCUUCUUUGAGAAUUUUAUUAAAAUACACAAGUCAAGUUUUUUGGCUCGAGAAAUAAUUAACCCCGUUGAUUCCUGCUCUUUCUAUAUUAUCUUCAAAACCUAUCAUCUUCGUGUCAUCAUUUUUUCUACUUUAGCAUGCAAAUGUCAAUAGCAUCUUUUUUCUUAUAAUGUUGAAAAUUAAUAGUUGAAACACAAUAUAUAAAUAUGUAAAUAAUUUUAUAUUCUUUGAACAUAGAUGUCAGCAUUGACGAUUUUCUAUUCAAUCUCCAUAACCAUAUGCUUGAUAUGUCCCUCUCUUUAGUUUAUUUGGUUUUGAUUUGUUACAGCAGACAAGCUAAAAACCUAUUUAUUUCUGCACAUGCAUUGUUGACCAAGGCAUGUUAUCCUGUUUCCAUUGUCUGUAGUACCAAAACAUUUCUUCUCAGUUGCACAUAAAAGAGAGGGGGAAAAGUCGGUUUAACCUUGUUAAAGGCAAUAAAAUAUUCCAUUUUCAUAUUCAAAAUCGGGGAAGCAAAUGGUUCAUUAUAAGGUAUAAGAAAGAGCAUAUGUAAAUCAUCACAUACGUAUUUUUGUUAGAUCAAUGUAAAAGAAAAGCUUUUACCCGUCAGAAAAAUUAGAACAGGUUUCUUUUGCUCCAAACAUUAAGACGUUGCUUUAGGCCUUCAAAAACUAAUAUUAGAGGAUAACCACCUAACACUAUAAACAACCAUAUUUUAAUGUUGAUAUUUUGCUUUACCUUUCAACUUUCAAGCCGUUGGAAGAUGCUUAAGAGUAUCAUAUUUUAACACAUUCGUUUUAAGAUGAUAUCUAACCUGAGUGUCAUAGCCUUCAGGAAGUUUGAUAAUGAAUGAAUGAGCAUUGGCGACUCGAGCUGCUUCCUCUACCUCAAGUUGAUCUGCUUCAGGUCUGCCUAAGAGAAUAUUCUCUUUGAUGGUGGUAGCAAAAAGAGCAGGUUCUUGGCUCACCAAUCCUAUCUGCUGUCUUAACCAUCUAAGCUUCAAAGUUUUUAUGUCACGUCCGUCUAGUAGAACUUCACCUGCACAUUCAGUCAAGAAAGAACUUCUCUUGUAAACUAAACCAAAUCCAAAAACUUAAAUUUCAAGAAUAAGACUGAAAAGUGAAAACCAAAACCAAAAGCAAUGUAUUAAUUACUUAAAAAGUUGACACAGAUCAGGGGAGUUAUACCUGAAAUGGGGUCAUAGAAUCUUUCAAUUAGGGCAACAACCGUGCUCUUUCCGGAGCCGCUGCUUCCGACCAGAGCUAUAGUUUUUCCAGCAGGGACAGCUAGGGAGAAAUUAUUGAGGAUUCUUACAUCUGGCCUGGAUGGGUAUGUGAAAUCAACAUUCUUCAGCUCAACCAGUCCUGAAACAGAUUCUAAUUCCAAACCAGAUUCAUUGUUGCGGUUUAGAGUGGGCUUAUGGUCAAUUAUACGGUAGAUUUUGGCAGCUGCAACUUUAGCCUUAGCGAAUGAACUCAUGCUGGGAGCAGAUUGCCCCAGUGCCCUGUCAAGCAAAAGCGAUCCAUCAGCCAAAAAAUUGGAGGCUUGAAGGUGAAAUUCGGAGAUGAUAGUGGCUACUUACAGUCCACCAAUCAUCACUGCAAACAUAGUGGCUAUGGCCAGUCCACCAUUGGUGGCGUGGUGUCUGACAAGAUAACCUCCGUACCAGAGCAGAAGGGCGUAACAGCAGAAAACGACGAAGUAAGUAGCGCCCAAUCCGAUACCCUUGGAGAAUCCACUCUUGUAACCUAUCUUCUGAGAAAUCUUCAAUGCGGCGGAGUAUCUCUGUAAUGCUCUUGAUUCGCCCACGAAUGCAAAAACAACUCGAAUUUGAACUAUUGUCUGCAUGUUACGUCAAGAAUUGACAGUACCCAGAUGAGAGAAGGUGCCAAAAUCUUUAGAAGAUCAAGUUUUGGAAGGAAUUCCUCUUACCUGUUCGACGAUAUUCCCGGCUUCUGAAAGAGCGUCCUGGGUCUUGGCAGAGAGCUUGGCUAUUGUGGUGGUGUAGAUGCCGCCGAUUACGGCAAUCAAAGGAACCACCGCAAGAGUCACCAACGCCAAUUGCCACACAGCAGUGAAACCCACAACGAACCCGGACACGAAAGUUGCCAUAUAGUGGAUGAAGUUGCCCAGCUGCAAAAUCCAUACACAGUUACUCCAUUAGGCGUGUACAAGGGGAUUUCGAAAUAGAGAGAUUACUGAAAAUAGAGGUUGUUUCUUCUUGUUUUUUUUUUUUUUUUUUGCUUCGCACCUUCUCACUAAUGGCGUCUUGGACCAUCACUGCAUCAGUGUUGAUGGCGAAAACGACGUCAGAUGUUCGCACCUCUGUAUCAAAAUACUGAAUGUCCUGGUCCAGUGCCGCUUCUAGGUACUUGAUCCUCAUCUUUGUGGACUGCCGCUCGCCGGUCCACAUCCAACACGAAAUCUCUGCAACCGUUUUCAGUUAAAUUGACAUAUGAAUGUAAAGAUAAACCCAGAAGAAGCCUAACGGAACUCUAAGUACCUGCCCAAGAUGAAGCCCAUAUCGCAGCUCCAACCACGAGAAAGUAGAAUGCGUACUGAAAAUAGAAAGGUUUCAGUUUUUUAAUUAGAGAUUAUGAUCAAUCAACAUAAGCACUACGAUUGUGUUCAUGAGUUAUAGUUUCUACUUUACCUUCAAAACCUCCUGCAUCAUUUUAUCCACAUCAUUGGCGUAAGACCCAAAAGAGUUAACAAGAUCAGCAAAGAAACGAAGAAACAGAGGCAAAGAACAACCGUGGACAAGAGCUCCGACGGACCCAAUUGCCAUCAAAACGUAAUCCAACCCAUCAGCGAAUCUGAAAAGCUCCCCAAAUCCAAUGGCGGUAACAGCCUCAGGCUUCUCCCCACUAGUGCCACCGCCGUUUUCCUUCUUGGAAACAGUGGUAGACUCCAUUUCUCUGUUUUUAGCUCUGCCAACUCCGUCUUGAGGCUCUUGUGUGGGUCUGAGGUCUUCAGGGUCAGUGUUUUCCGCUGUAGGGUUGUUGGUGAUAGAUGGGUCAGAAGGAGGAAGAGGAUGAGAAGAGAGGAGCUCAAGGCCUUGCAUUUCGGACCAUUUCCACUGCUCAGUCGUCUUUAUCUCUUCUGAAUAUUGUGACAUUGGCGAAAUUCCUCGCUUUGUGAACAAUUUCCCCCCUUUCUUUACCUUAUAGUUUUCUUUUAUUUUUUUUCUUUAUUUUUGCUCACUGUACCCGCCUUGGUUUGAGCUCAGAGCUCAUAUUUUUGCCGCUAACUUUUUUCAAUCCACACACUGCUUUGGCUACUGCUACAGUCUUGUGAGAAUUUUUUUUUCUCUCUUUUUACUCUCUCAUCAGUUGUGUUGGGAUGUUCUCUUUCUUCUUCAUCAUCUUAUUCUUAUUUGAAUGCAAGUGUGAAAGACGGACAAAUACUGGGCUGCUUCUUUUUUUACAGUCAGAUUGCUUUUCCAAUUGUUCCCAACUUUGCUUCUUCUGUAAAAAAACAUAGAAAGUGACAUAUGUUAGAGAGAGUCCCGGAGUGAGAAAAAGAGAAGGAUUUUCCAUCCGACAAGUCACACUGUUUCAAAAACUGAGAUGGUUUUUUUUAUAAAAAAAAGAUUUUUUUUUUACUAGAACAUAUUCAAAGUAGGGGGGAAAAUACCCUUCUUUCUUUCCUUCAACUCAGAACUAAAAACAAUUAAAAUAUCUCUUUCCUCUUUAAUCCCAAUAAGAAAAAUAAUUGCUCCAGUCAUCGUCAAAAGAAAACCUUAUAAUUGUUUUUAUUUUGUAUUUUACUAUAUAAUGUUCUGGAUGAUCUCGAUAUUAGAUUUAUCAUUUGUUUCCAGGCUUAAUCAUAUCGUCAGUGAAACUUGGAAAAGUCCAUAUGAACAGCCCACAAAAGAGAGGUAAACUUCUAUUUCAAAACUUGGCAAAACUAUUAUGGAAGUUAGAAAAGGGGAGGGAAAGAACCCUUUUUUGGGGUGAUGAUGAAAUUUAAAUAGAAUGGAAAAUGUGAUUUUAACGGUUAUAAAUGGAUUAAAGGUAUAACAAUCCAGUCAGUUAAAGAAAAAUAACUUUUUUAAAAGUAUGCAAUGAAAAGAAAGGUUUUUAGCUUCUGGUUUCUUGUGCACUACUCUGUUUUGCAACUGAAAUUAAAUAUAUUUUUGAAUGGUUACAUAUUUUAUUUUUAUCUCUAAAAUCUACUGUUAUCCUUGUUGGUAUUGCAAUUUUUAAAAUAAAUUAUUUGUAAUUUAAUAGCUGUUUAAUAUUUUAUUUUUCUUCAUUUAUUUCACUCAAGUAUCUUUGUGAGUUUAGGAUCACUAGUUUCAAGAAAAAAAAAGUGUUUAGAAUCACAUGUAAGCUGGUGUCUAAGUUUUGAAUUAUGUAAUUCAAUUCAGACAUUUAAUAGAGUAUUUAAAAAUUAAAAUCCUAAAAAAUAUUUUAAAAAAUCAACAAUGAAAACAUUUUUUAAAAAAUUUCAUUUUGUAUUUGAAGAAUAUGGACCUGUUUUUUCUUUAAAAAAACAUAUGAACAAUGAUUACAUGUCAAUCAAUUAGCUAUAUAACCUUUUAAUUUUAGUUAAAUCUCAUUUUAGUUUUCAACUUUUAAGAUUAUUUUAUUUUAAAAUAUAGUAUAUAUUUUAUAUUAAUUUUUUUAAAAAAAAAUUCUACCUAAUAGUCUCUAUAUUUUAAAAGUUAUCUUCAAACUUUUAAUUGCUCUAUUAGCUAUAAAAUUAUAAAAUUACAAUUUGUCUAGUAAAACUAUAAUUUGUAAUUUAAAAAGUUGAAUGAAUAAACACAAACAACGUUAACUUCAUGAACUAAUUUAAACCAUCAUUUUUCUAGAAAAUCACAGUAUAUUAAAAAAAAAUGGAAUGAAACCAGGACACUGUGUGAAAAUUUAAAAUUUAGGAUUGUUUUGGAUAAAAGAAAAUGUGAAGAGAAGGUAUGAAAUGUUGAAAAAAAAUUGUGACCUUACAUUACCUUACCUUACCCAACACUGUUUGUCUCCUUCAAAUAAGGGGAACUUUGGCACACACAGUCAAUAAAUUGAAUGAAUUCUUUAAUAUUAUUAGUAGUUUACUCUAUAUACAAAAGUCUGAUUAAAUUAAUGGAAAGUCCUCCAUAAAAUAUGGUAAAAUAAUAAGAAUAAAAAGCACAACCAUUGCAUUAUUUGAAUAUUUAUAUUUUUGCAGGUUUGAAGGUUGACCGCAGAGAAACCAAACAAAUAGUUUGAAAACCUGAUAGCGUAUACACAUUGACUCUAUUUCUUUUGUCAGAACAACAACAACUACAAAGAAAAAAAAAGGUUCUUUUCUUACUCUCUAUGCCUUUCUUUGAUGUCUCAUUAUUGAAGUAAUGUCUUAGGAAAGAAGAAGCUCUCAUUAAUGAAAACUGAAACACAUACAAAACUGGAAAAAAUAAAAAGAAAGUCUUGAAUUGUCAUUAAGUUUUGGGUGCUGGGUCUAUACACAUUACACACACUUUUAUUUUGCAUUUAUUUAAGAGUAAAUAAACAUUAUGUUUUAUUAAUUAAUUGAUGCUAGUACAAAAAUUAGGAGGUGGGAGCUAGAGUUGGUAUCUUGGAUGGAGAACUUUAAUGUGCAUUUUUUGUAAGUUGUCAAAGUGUGUAGUUACAGACCAGCUUGCAUUUCUUUUUUCAUAUCCCAUCUGAGGCUUUGAAAUUUACAAUACAACAUUUUCAAAUUUAUGAUCGGUACAUGUGAAUGGAAGUGGAAAAAAAUCAAUGAAGUGGAAGGAAAGGUUUCUAUCCAAUAUGGGUCGUUUUUGUCAUUUGUGUUGGGAAUUAUCCUGAAUUAUAAUAACCAUAUCUUACCACUGUAAAUAUUAUUUAAAAGUAUCUAAUUAACUGAUGCAAACAUUAUUUCAAAAUCUCAUAUUUGCUAAAGUAUUUAUUACUUACUAGAGUUUUUAUUAUUUUACUUUCAUUAUCUUUUAAUAUUUUUGUUAUAGUGUUUACUAUUUUCUCUAACUAAAAUAAUUUGCAAUUCAAAUACAUACGUCUAUAACUUAUUGUUAUAAUAACAUUCUCUUAUCCCAAAGGUUCCAAUGUAUUUGACCAAAGUGUAAAGACAUACCCUUCAUUUGUUUUAGUUGUAAAUACCAUCCUUUAUUUUGUACAAACAUCUCAAACUAUGAUUUUGGUAAAUAUUAUUUACAAAAUUGGCAAAAAAAAAAAAAAAAAAAAAACCUUGAGGUCCCAUCUAUUUGUUUUUUAAAAGAAACUUAAGUCAAAAUUAUUUGCACUUUUGUUCGAUACAUGAGUUAAAUUCUUGGUUAAAUUCAACGAACAAAACACAAAAUUUUAAAAUUAUAUAGUUUUUUAGUUUUCAAAAUCUAACUUAGUAUUUUUAAAAGUAUUGGUGAAAGUAAAUAACAAAACUAUAAAUGUUGAUGUGAAAUGAGUGUUUAUAAGUUUAAUUUUAAAAAAUCAAACAAGAUCUAAACAAUGGUAAUCCAAAUGAUUUUUUUAUUAUUUAGCCUCAAGUAUUUUUUUUUUUUUUAAGAAAAGUAGGAACAUAAAAUGGAUUGAUAUUGAUAUUGAUUUGUGAGUCAGUUUGAUUGAACAGACAAAAAUAGUUUAGUACAGUUUGAAUUGCAUUCAUCUUUUUAAACUCUAUUUAAUGGUUGGGUAAUAACUCAUUAUGGUAAAAUUUUGUGUUGUGUUGUAUAGUUAGAGUAAAAGGUAAAAACAGAAGCGAUGCCCAGUUUAAGAUAACCCCAAGAACUAUUCGUAAAAUAAAGGAAUAGACGUGGUCCUACUACUCUAACACUAUUCAUCCACUACCAUUGUUUAUAUUUUAUACAAAAUCUGAAAUGAUGAGAAUUUUGAAAACAGAGUUUGUGAAAAGAGAAAAAAAAGGGUUUAUUAUAAUACCGAAAUCUGGGGUUUUGAGGGCAAAGUGGGUGGAAUUUAUGAAACUAAACAGCCUUUUUCCAUCCCAAAUAGGGGGAGGGAGAUCCAAGGCAUGUGGGUUUAUCAUAAUCAUAUUCCAAACAACAACCUUUCAAAUAUAUAUAUACCACCAAAAAUAAGAAAUAAAAAAGUUAAAGUGAGGAGAGAGUGUCAGAAAAUCUGAAAAUAAAAAACUUAAAAAGAAAGAAAAAUAAUAAAAUGACAGCAAAUUGUUGGAUUUGUUUAAAAUGUUAAAAUCUUAUCAUAUAAUUAUAAAAAUUAAGUUCCCAGGCUUAUACAGUUAUGUAAAUUUAAGAGUAAUUUUUAAUUUUAAAAGCUUAAAGGUAUUAAACAAGGAUGUUUAAGAAAAGGUAAAGAAUAUGAAUGAAGAAAAAGGAAAAAAAAUGAAAGUGGAAGAGAAGGGAAUCAGAGUUGUACGAAUGUUGAUGCCAUACCUGAAAUCACUCACUAACUUUUUUUUUUUUGUUUUUAAGUAUAAAUAACAGUCUAAUCAGCUGUCCUUUUUUCACAUUUUGUAGUUUUUAUAUACUUUUCUGUAAAACUUCACAAUUGAAUCCAUACUCCAUCAUUCUCAUAUAUAUAUAUAUAACACUCUAGUACAUAUAUAUAUUUUCCUGUUUUUAAGACUGGUGUAAGCUUUUUCAAUCUAAUUAUUUAUUGUUUGUAUCGUUUCAGCGAAUUUGAAUAGUAAUUACAACCAAUUAAUGAUAUGUAGUUUUUUAAAAAACAAUAUAUAAUUAAACUGCAUGUAGGUGAAAAAUUCACAGUAUAUUUGGAGUCUUAUAGUUACUCAUAUUUUAUAUUUAUAUAUGUAUUUAAGAGUGAUUCAUAAAUUACACUUCAAUAAUAUUUUUAUAAAUCGUUAGAAUUAAUUGUGAUUAGUUGCUAUAAAAUCAACGUACAUGGAAUAUAAAUUAUUACUAAUUAAUUUAUGAUUUUCUUUUUAUGUUCUGGAUUUUCACAUAAUUAUUAUGGUGUACCAAUUUUUUUUUUUUUUACAAUUCCUUGUAUAUUUAUUUUCUUAAAAGAAGAUCGAGUUUAUAUAUAACACACUGGAAUCAUAAAAAUAUUUUUGCUGAAUUUGUACUCUUUGUGUUUGACCACAAAAAUCCAAAAACAGUUCUUUGACAUAGAAUCUAAACUUCCAAUUAUGAAUUUAAGGGGAACAAAAAAUUCUUUUAGUCCCUAGAUUAGAUUUUUUUUAGUGUAGUUUCUAAUUUCAAUUUGUCAUACGUUCCUAAAUUUUUAAGUUUAUGUUUGGUUUCAGUUUACUCACUAAAAUUCAAAAAGGCCUUAAUUUUAUUAUUUCAUUUCAAUUUUUCAAAUUUUGUUGAGUACCCAAAUUCAAACAUACAUAUCAUUACUUAUUAAUCAAUUUAAAGUAAGUAUAAAGUAAAAGAGUGAAAUAUAAUUAAUUACAAGUGGUUAAAUUAUUUAAAUUUAUUAACCUACAUAAAAUCUUUAAGACAAGAACAAUAUAUUAAGUGAAAUAUUGAUAUUCAACUCAAAACUUUGAAGACAAAAACAUGUACUUUUUGGUUUAUAAAUAUAAAAAUAUAAAAAUAUAAAAAUAUAAAAAUAUAAAAAUAUAAAAGAAAGUAAAAUUGACUAUUAAACACUUUUGUUGUGUUUUGUUUAUAUAUAUAAAUUUAGAAAAAGAGGGUGAGGGAAAGUUGAUGGGAAUAUGUAUGUGUGUGGUGUGACGGUUGGCGUAUUUGGGUCAGUUUGCUGCCCUGCCCACGCCCUCCUGUCCAAUCCCUCCCUUCUUUUCAUUUUUCUUUCUUUUCCACUUAUUACUUCAUAUCAUAUCAUAUAUAUAUAUAUAUUCUCUGUCUUCUUUCUUUUUUUCUUUUUACCUACAGCCAUUUCAAUUCUGUGGUUAGAUUUUUGUACAUUUGUGUUUUAAUCUUCCUUUCCAUGAUUUCCAACGGUUUUUUCAAAUCGUUUCAUUUUUCUCGUUGAUUUCGUAUUCAUUAACUUAUGGUUUGGUUAAUUAGAUUUUGUUUGGAAGAUAAUUUAAGAGGUUGGAGUGGUCUUGGUUUGGACUGUGUGAGUUUAUGAAUGGUCUUGCAAUUAUUGGUGGUCUUCCCAUUAUUGGUGUGUUAACAGUCUAGCUAUGCUUGAGGGUUUGAAAGCGAUGAUCAUAAGUGAAGUUGCUUUGGAUCAUCCCUUUGCUUUGAGAUUUAGAUUUAGUCUAUUUACUACAAGCCAUCAAUUUUCAUCAAUUUUCUCAAUAGGAAGGAGGCUUCUAAUCAUGAAUUAGGGAUGUUUUCUUUAGUACAUUUUGUUUGUAGGAGCUUUCAUUAAUGUUUUCUUUUUUUGUCACAUUUCCAAAGGAUGAAAACAAAUUGUUCAUGCUACUGCAACUUUAAUAUUAUCUCUUAGUUAUUCAUCGAUCUUAAAAUAUAAACUCUUUCAUUCUUCAUGAAGUGCCUCGAGAAUGUUAGAUUGAGUUGUUUUUUUUGCCCCAAGAUAAUUAAAUAUUUAAAAAAUACAUGAACUAAAAUGGAACAGCAUAAACUUGUAUGUUCUACAUUGAUAGGGUUAGAACGAGUUGUUCUUUUUAGGGUUUUUCCUUAAAAAGAAUAAGACACUUCAAAAUACAUGAACAAAAAUAAAAAGAUCAUGCAUGUAACGUUUUAGAAGGAAAAAGAAAGUAUUUUUCCCACGUAACCGAAGAAUAUUAUUGAAAAUUAUUACAAAGAGUAUUAUUAUUAUUAUUUUUUUAUAUAGUAAUAUAAUAAUUUUUUUUAAUUUAAAAAUAAAAAACAAAAGAAUACUCAUUGUUAUGUAAAUGUAAAUGUAAAUGGAAAAUUGAUAGUAGAAUCUAGUAGAACCCAAUGGCUUAUUAUUACCUUAUAAAGCUUUCAUUUAUAAACAAUCCUUAAAUACCAUAAGGCCCCACUAUAUUUGUCAAUACUACUAAUUUGACUUGUAAUUAAUGGAAACAACAGUGAAAAAUUUUCGAAUUGGAUGAAGUUCAUAUGCCUUUAAUGAAUCAUAAAACAUCAAUUAAUGUUUAUGGUUUCAUCUCCAUCUAUUUCUUAAACUAGUAAACAAACAAAAUUCAUUACCAAAUUCUCAUUAGGAUUUGAAAAAUAAUACUUUAAUCCUUUAGUACAAAAGAUGUAGGAUUGCAAAAUUAUUAUUUUUUUACUUCAAGAUAUAUAUUUUAAAUAAUUAGUUCUUCUAUUCGUGUCUGAAAAAUCAUGUUGGAUUAAAUUUCAACUUUUAAUUUCAUCAAAUUAGUUCAUAUGUUAAGUUAAAUAUUGCAAUGUAUACUAUAUUUUUUAAUUUGUCCACUAAUUUUAACAUUAAAAAAAAAGUAUUUAAAUUCCGUAAUUUCAUAUAUUGAUGUUUUGACAAAUUUAGAUUUCAAUAAAAUGCCAAAACUCACAAAUCACAAUACAUUAUAUGUGAGUAUUUUUAAAAAAGAUUUUUCAAACAAAAGCUCAUCAAAAGGUAAAAUAUAAAAAUCUCCAAUGAUCUAAACGUAUAGUACAAAUUGAGAAAAUUAUAAGGAUAAAAAGUAAAAUUUGAUAUAUUUAAGACUAAUUUUUUUCUCUCUAAAAAAAAAAAAAACAAAAAGAGAGAAGAAGGUGAAGACAAUACACUUAAUAUACUUCAUGGAUAGAAAAUGCACAAAACCCAAAAGAAUUAAUAAAGGGUAUAAGGGCUUUUGUGUGUUUUUUUUUUUUUUCUUCUUUUUUUCUUUUAUAACUACAAAGGUUCCAUUUCCUAACUAUCUCUCACCUCAUCCUCUCUAGUUCUAGCUGAGGAAGUUGAACCAGAUGUCAUACCAAUGACUUGGCUGUGUGUGAAUCUUUGUAAUUGAAUCAUCCUGGCAUAACACCCAUCAGGGUAAUUUUUCAACAAAUGUGAGUGUGAUCCCUGUUCUGAAACUUUGCCAUCAUCAAUUACUGCAAUGACAUGAGCAUUCCGGAUAGUUGAUAGUCGAUGGGCAACUACGAUUGUUGUUUUUCCUGAACAAGCUCGGUCGAGCGCCUCCUGAACUGAUCGCUCUGACUCAGCAUCGAGUGCACUUGUUGCCUCGUCUAAUAGCAUAAGCUCUGCCUUCCUGAUCAAUGCACGGGCAAUUGCAAUUCUUUGUUUCUGUCCACCUGAUAGUUGAACUCCUCUCUCUCCAACGAAGGUUUUAUAUCCUUCUGGCAACCCAGAUAUGAACUUAUGGGCAUUUGCCAAAGUAGCGGCUUCAAUGAUCUCGGUUUCAGUUGCCGAUUCAUGGCCAUAAGCUAUAUUAUCAUAUAUGGAAGCAGCAAACAAGCAUGGCUCUUGAGGGACCAUUGCAAUGUGCUUUCUCAGGGACUUGAGAUUGAACUUGCGAAUAUCCUUUCCAUCAAUCAUAACUCGUCCUGAUGUCGGCUCAUAGAAUCUUUGGACUAGGGCAAUAACAGAGCUCUUGCCACACCCGCUAGGGCCAACAAGAGCAAGAGUCUUACCUGCUCGGGCACGCAAAUUAAGGUCUUUAAAGACAGGGAUAUCAGGACGGGUUGGGUAGGAAAAGUCAACAUGUUUUAAUUCAACUUCUCCACGAAGUUUAUCUGGUACUGGGGUGGCGUCCGGUUCAUCAGGUUCAAUUUCAGUUUUACGGUCAAGAAGUGCAAAUACGGAACGCAUGGCUCGACCACCCUUGAUAAAGUCAGGAGCUAGAGUGAGUGUUUCGGCUGCACCAUUUGCAGAAACCAUAAGGACCAUGAAAACACGAAUUGCCUUCGAAAA
rnacentral:lncRNA from 1 species